rnacentral:rRNA from 1 species
UACGGAGGAUCCAAGCGUUAUCCGGAAUUACUGGGCGUAAAGAGUUGCGUAGGUGGCAUGGUAAGCAAAUAGUGAAAGACUACGGCUCAACCGUAGAUACAUUAUUUGAACUGCCAAGCUAGAAGACGGGAGAGGUAACUGGAAUUGCUGGUGUAGGAGUGAAAUCCGUAGAUAUCAGCAGGAACACCGAUGGCGUAAGCAGGUUACUGGCCCGCUCUUGACACUAAGGCACGAAAGCGUGGGGAGCGAACGGG